rnacentral:rRNA from 1 species
UGGGGAAUUUUGCGCAAUGGGUGAAAGCCUGACGCAGCAACGCCGCGUGAGUGAUGAAGGCUUUCGGGUCGUAAAGCUCUGUCAGAGGGGAAGAAACACCCAGGGGUUAAUACUCUCUGGGCUUGACGGUACCCUCAAAGGAAGCACCGGCUAACUCCGUGCCAGCAGCCGCGGUAAUACGGAGGGUGCAAGCGUUGUUCGGAAUUAUUGGGCGUAAAGCGCGUGUAGGCGGUCUGUUAAGUCUGAUGUGAAAGCCCCGGGCUCAACCCGGGAAGUGCAUUGGAUACUGGCAGACUUGAGUACGGGAGAGGGAAGUGGAAUUCCGAGUGUAGGGGUGAAAUUCGUAGAUAUUCGGAGGAACACCAGUGGCGAAGGCGGCUCACUGGCUCGAUACUGACGCUGAGGUGCGAAAGCGUGGGGAGCAAACA